AUGCGACCCGACAUGACAGCAGCAAGGCUGCAGACAUGGCUGCUUAGGUUCAGUAAUAGAAAAGUGUGCAAACUGGCCUUUUACUUCUAUCUUCUGACGCCACGAUCUACCCCGGCAAAGCGCUGUACUCCUUACCUCCACACGACAGCUGAGCACACGGUGACGCGAGAGGGCUGUCCCCACAGCUCGCCUACUGAAGGCCUGGGCUGCCUCCUCUGCAGACCCAGGGCUCACACCGCUGCUGUCACUCGUAAUUUAUCUCGUGACAUCCUCGACUUUCCAUUUUUAAGUGGCACAUAAACAAAUACUGG
rnacentral:lncRNA from 1 species